rnacentral:rRNA from 1 species
UACAGAGGGUGCGAGCGUUAAUCGGAAUUACUGGGCGUAAAGCGUGCGUAGACGGCUAUCUAAGUCGGGUGUGAAAGCCCCGGGCUCAACCUGGGAAUUGCAUUCGAGACUGAAUAGCUAGGGUACGGUAGAGGGAAGUGGAAUUUCCGGUGUAGCGGCGAAAUGCGUAGAUAUCGGAAGGAACAUCAGUGGCGAAAGCGACUUCCUGGACCAGUACCGACGUUCAGGCACGAAAGCGUGGGGAGCAAACAGG